rnacentral:rRNA from 1 species
UGGGGAAUUUUGGACAAUGGGCGAAAGCCUGAUCCAGCAAUGCCGCGUGUGUGAAGAAGGCCUUCGGGUUGUAAAGCACUUUUGUCCGGAAAGAAAUCCUUGGCUCUAAUACAGUCGGGGGAUGACGGUACCGGAAGAAUAAGCACCGGCUAACUACGUGCCAGCAGCCGCGGUAAUACGUAGGGUGCAAGCGUUAAUCGGAAUUACUGGGCGUAAAGCGUGCGCAGGCGGUUUGCUAAGACCGAUGUGAAAUCCCCGGGCUCAACCUGGGAACUGCAUUGGUGACUGGCAGGCUAGAGUAUGGCAGAGGGGGGUAGAAUUCCACGUGUAGCAGUGAAAUGCGUAGAGAUGUGGAGGAAUACCGAUGGCGAAGGCGGCCCCCUGGGCCAAUACUGACGCUCAUGCACGAAAGCGUGGGGAGCAAACAGGAUUAGAUACCCUGGUAGUCCACGCCCUAAACGAUGUCAACUAGUUGUUGGGGACUUCAUUUUCCUUAGUAACGUAGCUAACGCGUGAAGUUGACCGCCUGGGGAGUACGGUCGCAAGAUUAAAACUUAAAGGAAUUGACGGGGUCAUAGCUGUUUCCU